rnacentral:lncRNA from 1 species
CUGCGCUGCACUGCCCGGGGCAGCCUCCAGCUUUGAUGAGAGCUGAGGGCACACCCAUCGCUGUCAGGAAGAGCAUAACCUGUUUGUGCCAGGGAGACACUAUAGCCACCCAUCCCUCCCUUGCCCCAGAUCUUGUCCUGCCUCCAAUGCCCAAUGCACACCGCAUCCAUGUGCCCCUGGGCCUGAGCUUCCUCACAGGACACCUUUCUUACCUAUCUACCACUCCGGGUGGGGAAGAGUAGGCCUGAGGGCAGGCUUAGGCGUGUUUAAACACCUUACCCCUGUGUUUUCUGCCUGCAUUACCUGUGUUGGUUUGCCCACAGCUUGUCUGUUUGUGGCUUGGUUGUGUGACGUUCCCCUUUGUGCUGAGAAAGGCCUGCACUGCCUUUCUGCUGAGGACAUGAAGCCCUGCUCAAGGGGGUUAUUUUGGGGUGGGAUUAUUCCACAUUAUACAUAGUGCAAUUGGGUUCCUGGUCUAAACCUCUGGUGUUGGCUCGCUAUGUAGGUAGUGGGGACAGGUGGGCCUUGCUGGAGGCUGAUUCCUUCCGUCUGCCAUAGGUAUUUAUGUUAGUGGGAUGACUCAUCCUCUGGACAUACCUCCUGCCAUUGUCCAUAAGGAAAGGAGGGACAACUGGCUAAGACUAGGCACCUGGUGUUUUAUAUGGCCACAUUUAGGUCGAAUGAAUCCCUGCUUUAUGUUUUUCAGGAUGCCUGCUGUCUUCAGCCAGUCUGUGUUUGAUCUAUCUGACUGGAUCCACAUAGGAGAGGAUAUGCUGUGGUUUCUCUUCUCUGAUGAGAUCUUAACAGCACUAGAGAUUAAUCUGUGUCAGUCUUGCUCUGUCUAG